AAAAACGAACAGGCCGAGCUGCACUUAAGUGCAACUCCGGUCACAGUGGUAGUAUAUGCAUUUCUACUUCGCAUGUCGUAAAUAAUAAUCCUUUCGGAUAACCAGGGGACUUGGAACUUUGGAUAACGAACCGGGCUAACUAAUUACGCCGGUUAAUUUUCAACGAUUGAAACAAUCGCGGUUAAUUAGUAGCAAUCAAAACCAAACAAAAGAGAGAAAAUAAAGUUGAAAUUGGCGACCGUGACAGGACGAUACUAAAAUUCGCAAAUUCCGGUUGCGAUUUCCGCGUGUCGUGUUUACGAAAGGAUAGCGUGCGGAAUUUAAAGAAAAAAUUACAUUAAAGGCUGCGAAGGCCGAAAGACAUCACGAGUUAUUGUUCUGCGGGGAUAGCAGAAUAAGAAUAAUAAAUGAAUAAGGUGUUCAUGAACUGAAGUAGAACGCAUAAUUGUUAUUUCAGGAGCACGUAAUAUAUAAUUAUGAAUAAACAAAAUCGCUAACGAUCGGUAUUGGUGUGGAGUCAGAUGUUUCUAUAUUAGAUAGCAAAUGUAAAACGAAGCUAGAAAUGAAGGGAAGGUUUUGCUAAGAAUAAGAAAGAGAUAAAACAAAUCCUGUUCUAGCAUAAUUGUUCCAUUUUUAAUAAUAUUGAGCAUUAAGAUUUAACCGUAGAUCGAAGUGAGUGCAAUUUAGGCAAAAAAGGAAAAUAGAAAUAAGCGGUUCUAGAGAAUAUAAGGCCGCAAAGAAUGUUUACGCAAAAGUAGUAAAGGGAUGUGGCAAAACAAAUUGUUGUAAACAAACAAAUGUCAAAGGCAUCCACUAAGGCGAAUAAACAUAAGAUCUUUGCAAAUGAAAGGUUUUUAAACGUAUUUCAUUCAAAAUUAGCGCUUAAAAAUAAUUAAUGCAAAAUUUAAGUAAACAACCAAAAGAAAACAAAUACCACAAUAGUGGAAAUAUUAAGGAAAAAUUCUGGUAGUAGAGGUCAGCUGGGACCAGGAACUAACAGGAUAAGUAAAAAUUUGUGAUUAAAAACCCAAUAAUAAAAAUUUUUUGUUGUUGUUUAGACAAUUUGUUGAAACCUUAAGUUAAAAAAGACAAUAUUGAAAUUUCGAAGUUAGACAUCAGAAGAAAGCCGAUAAAAGGAAAAAUUGCCUUUAAGGAGGAACUUUAUGGAAUGCAAUAAUAAUAAACAAAAGGUAAAAGAUAAAAUUAAGAGCUGAAAAUCAGUGGUGUAAUUUACGGGAACAUAACGAAGCACGUAAAUACCGAAAUAUUGAUAAAGGUUUGAGUAGAAGAAUUUAAAUAAAUAAAUAAACAGAAAAUUUGUUUUAGUUAUAAGUGAAACAACAAAUCACUCCAAAAUAGAGCAAAAGAUAGUCAGCUGAUAGUGAUUGCGGAAGUUAGUAGACAAAUAAAAGAGGGAGAAAAAAUUUAUUAAAGAGGAUUUGUUGACUAAAUUGACUAUUGAAACGUCAGGAAAGAGCAGCGAUAAAAAAGUUUUCGAUAAAACUGCCCUUUGUUCAAACAGUUCCGAGUUGCUAAUCACGACAAGCAAAUAUCAAGUGUCUAAGAUUCGGAAAGGAGCGUAUGCAUAGGGUGACUCGGGUAAAAGGGAUCAUCUGGUGGCGUGAGGCCGGAGCUAGAUAUUAUCGCGUGAAUGCAAAGCAAAUGUAGAUUUUUGGCAUGUAUUGACGCUGUAAAGAUAAAACAAAUUCAGAAAUAGAAAACUAUUUGAAUAAAUAACUAGUUCUUGCGGUUAGAGCGGGGCUUGUAAUUAAGAAUAGUGCGUACGAAACGUUAGUUGAACAAAAGCGAAAUCGUAGUAACCAAGCGUUCACAGAGAUCUCGGGUGCUAACUGAGAGUUAUGCCCUUUGAGACAAAGCGGGUAAUGAGAAGACGGAACGUUGGAAAAUCUCAAGAAAUAGUCACAUCUGAAGCAUCAGCAGACACGCAGGAGUCGGUGCAAGCAGACACAACAUCAGAAGAGGAAAUGUCACUGGUACGCACACCGCCAGCUAACGCAAGCCAGGUGACACUGACCGGAAACACAAUGGCAGAGCAAAACACGAAGCAAGUCGAGGAAUUGCGCAAAGAAAUAGGCGAAAUGAGAGUAUGGAUCGAAGAGCUUCGACGACAAAAUGAGGAAUUGAGGCGAGAACAGGGAGUAUCACCGCGAACGCAGAAGGACCCUGGCACACAAACACUUCCUGGAUUAAGAUUACCGCGAGGAGAGUGGCUCACUAACCCAUUCCAGGAGCUGAAAUAUAAAGGAAGAAAAGAUGAGAUAAAUCCAGUCAGAUUUAUUUGUAGAUUCGAGAGGAUUGCGGAAAGAGAGGCCGGGACAAGAUCGAUUGUAUUAUUUCGGUACAUGUCUCAAGGAGGAGACAGCGGCCUGAAUGGACAAUCGAGACUUCAACGACUACGAAGAAGCUAAAACAGCAUUUUUGGAGUAUUUCUGGGAUAAUGUAACACAACAACAGAUUCGAUAUACACGAUAAAAUAUACACUGGAAAAUAUAACCCAGCCAAGGACGGAUCAUUGGUGGAAUACGUGUUAAAGCAUGCACGCCAAGCAAAAGUAUUUACGUCUCCAAUGGAUGAGCAAGAAAUCGUCACAAGUUUAGCGAGACAUUUCGAUGACUCGAUAGCAAGAGAGUUAAGACCAGCAUGGGUCAAAUCCGUGGAGCAAAUAACGGAAAUUUUGCAUCAUAUAGAAACGGAGAAGAAAAUUCGCAAGGAUGCUAAGAAGCGAACGGAAACCGAAGCGACGGAUAGGAAGAAAGACGAUUUGAAAAGAAAUGAAAAUAGAAAGCAUUUAGCCGUAACGACAGGUUAAGGCGAGGACUAUGCGGAAAAGAAACGAAACAUCAGAUAUUACAGUGAAUCAUAUCGUAGGGAAGAAGAUAUAAAUCGCAAAAGAGAGUCCGAUAUCAUCGAAAUCGCAGAGCGGACGGAGGAAGUGAUGAAGCGUCAAGCGGUGACGAAGCCGUAAACAAAUCAACACUCAAAAGGAAGGAAGUGAAGGACAAUUCUACAAAGGAUAAAACUUCUGAGAAGAAGGGGUUAGACCGGCGAAGUCGCACAAAAGUUGCAGCUAUACAAUUAGAAGAAAAGUCCGAGGCAUCAGAUAUAUCGGAUGAUCAAAUAAGCAUUUCAAUUGUUCGAACUGAAGAGAUAAUACGAGAUGUGGACGAAUGGUGCACGGAACAACAACAAAUCUCGAAAAAACCGGAUUUAUUCGUGGAAGUGAAAAUUGGACCAUGUCUAAUACGAGCACUUAUAGACACAGGAGCACAAAUCUUGAUGAUAGCUCAGGAUUUAUGCGAGGAAUUACGCGGAAAAGGAGCCUUAAUGACGGAGAUACCAAUUACGAAAUUUCCAGUGCGAUGAGCUUUUUCGGAUAAAGGAGAAAGAAUUGCAUACAAAAUGUUUACGGAAAUAGAAAUAGAAGGUAAGAAAUGUAGUGGCAAAUUUUAUAUCGCAAAAAGAUUACUCUAUAGGAUGCUACUAGGAAUUGAAUUUUUAACGGCACAUCGAGCAAUUAUAGAUUGCGCAACGAAUCGCAUAACACUACAGUUGAAUGAAGCUGUAAAUGUAAUGUCAGUUAAGGAAUUGAGUUUCCAGGACGCACUGCAAAACCUGGAAGAACUGAUAACUGAAUACAACGAACUGUUCACGCAGGAAAUCGGGUGCGUGAAGCAUUACAAACAUAAAAUGGAAAUGACGACUAACGCGUUUAAAUCCAAAAUUUACCCGAUUCCGGAGAUACACCGAGACAAAGUGCUGAAACACGUUGCAGAACUGGAGACCGCGGGAAUCAUAGAGAAGGCAGCUACGCAGUAUAUUAAUUCAUUAGUUGCUGUUGUGAAAAAGACAGGAGAAAUUAGACUUUGUCUAGACGCACGUGAACUGAACAAGCGAAUGGUCAGCGAUCACGCACAACCUCCAACAAUAGACAAAGUAUUCCGGAGAAUCGGGCAUAAAAAAUAUUUUAGUACACUGGAUGCUACCAAGGCAUUCUGGCAAAUUCCACUAGAAUCCAGCAAGAAAUAUACAGGGUUUAUGGUAGCAAAUCAAUCGUACGUUUUUCGAAGAAUGCCAUUUGGAUUAAAGACGGCCGGUGCAUCUUUUACGCAAGCCAUGAAUCUGACUAUGGAAGAGGAAGAUUCAGAAUUCUUGAUCAUAUAUUGAUAAUAUAUCUGGAUGAUAUUGUUGCGCUCGCGGCGUCGGAAACAGCUCUCACGCCGGUUUCCGCGAUCGCGCACUUGUCCGCGGAAAUGAGAGAGCGCGGUUUGCUAUUAAACUCUUUAUUGCAACAGGGAUCUCAAUUAGAAAUACAAGAAAACGGACGAGCCGUCCGAAAACGCAACGUGACAGAUCUCGCGACUCUCUAAUACAACAACACGCUGGUCGCCCGGCAACGAACAGUCGCGCCGAGCGCACGCCGUUCAGGCGGCUCCCGCGACACAUACACGGUGCCCCUCGCGUAACAAUAUAUUAAUACCCUCAAACUCAUUGGAGGAGCAUUUGGAACAUUUGAAUAUAGUGUUCAAGAAACUGCAAACAAAAGGUUUCAGAUUAAAUCAGAAUAAAUGCCGAUUCAUGAAAACGGAAAUAACGUUCCUAGGCCACACUUUCAGCGAAAUAGCGGCUGAGCUAGUGAGUGAAACAAAACAGGCAGUGAUCAAUUUUUCGAGACCGAAAAACAAAAAGGCUUUGCAGUCUUUCUUAGGGCUCGUAAAUUGGGAAAGAAGAUUCAUAAAAAACCUAGCACGAAUAACCAAACCUUUAGAGGAAUUACUCAAAAAGGACAGGAAAUUCACUUAGACAAGUAGGGAGCAGGAAGCGUUCACGGAAAUUAAAAGAGCGUUUCAGGACGCAGAAAAUUUUUGUCUCAUCAAACCAGGACUUGCGUUUGGGAUUUUCAUUGAUGCGUCAACGCAUGGAUUGGGCGCACGUCUCUACCAAUACGAUAAUGACGGUAAAAGAUACACGGUAGCAUACGCAAGCCGGAGCCUGAAGGGAGCCGAGACAAAUUUAUACAGUUACUGAACUAGAAUGUCUAGCUUUGGUAUGGAGCUUAAGGAAGUGGCACAUUUUGCUUAUGGGGCGCCAAGUGAAAGUACAUACAGACCACAAAGCAUUGAAAUUUCUCAGUUCAUGCAGACAAAAUAGCACGUGCAUCGCAAGAUGGUUUGAUUUCCUUCAGGAAUUUGAUUUGGAAAUCGAACACAUCCCAGAGAAACAAAACACAGUCGCGGACACACUAUUACGCAUGCACGCGAAAGGAUCAGCAAAUAAAUGCGAUGAGAAGGCAAAGGUCAUCGGGAUGAUUACCGAUUGUACGGAAGGAGAAGAUACAGCAGCAUGGUAUGACCUCAUCAAGCAAGCUCAACAUUACAAGAGAAUUGCGCAACAUUACAAGAGAAAAUCACACAAGACCCGGAGGUUUUCUAUGAGCGUAAUGGUUUAAUACGAUUUCGGAACGCGAACGGAAGAGAAAGAAUUACAAUUCCGGGUGAAAUAUCAUGGAAAUUGAUUAGGAAAAUACACAAGCUACUGUUACAUUUUGGAACAGAUAAGACCAAAGAUUUUGCAGAGAAAUAUUUUAUAAUACGAAACUUGGACAAGAUUACGCGAGAUGUAGUGGCAUCAUGCAUCACAUGCAUCGCGACUAAAUAUUACACCCGACUAACCGUGGGAUUUAGUUAUUAUGAAUUACUAGAAAUCUCAGAACAUACGGUUUCAAAUGAUAUUUUCGGACCAUUACCAACGGAUGGAAACGGCUAUCAAUAUAUUUUAGUACUACUCGAUCACUUCUCAAAGUUAACAAAGUUCUACCCGAUGAAAAAUCAACGGUUAGAUACGAUCAUUGAAAUCUUACAGGGACAGUACAUUCCAGAAAUAGGAAAUUUUGACGGACAAAGGAGGACAAUUCACUGCAUUUCGGUGGAUAAAUUUUGGGGUAGCGAACGGCAUCGUAAUCCGACACACGUCACCAUAUAAUCCUCAAUCAAACCCAGUAGAAAUGGUCAUGAGGGAAUUAGGCCGAGUAAUACGGGCGUACGCGUAUAGACGACAAACGCGAUGGAAAGAGAUAAUCCUCAGACUCGAGAAAGUAAUAAACGCAACGGCACAUCGCAGUACAGGAUUAAAGCCGAUUGACUUACAUGACGACAUAAACGAACCAUUGAGAAUCAAUGAGCGAUUACAACCAAGGGACAAACCAGUUUUAGAAAGACAGGAAAAGAUAGAAAUAGCGAAGGCAAAUCUGCGGAAGAGAGCAGAGGAAAGAGCGAAACAGGCAGACAAAAGGUUAACGGCACCCGUUUACCAAAUAGGGAAUCGAAUCUGGUUGCGGGUACAUAAAAGAUCGGAUAAGAGUAGGAGCGUCGCAAAAAAGAUGUUUCCAAUUUAUGAAAGAUCGUAUCAAGUCGCGGAAGUAGUUAGGCCAAACGUGUACCUAAUAAAGGAUGAAUAUGGGAACAUUAUGGGAACGUUCAAUUCUAGACAAAUAGGGCCACACAGGGAACCGCGUUUCCGAUUCAACGAAAAUCUACAGGGGACAAAUUGAAAAAUUAAAAAAUCGAGUCUUCUACAGGGAGUCGACCAGUAUCUUAAGUUACGAACACGAAACUAAUGACACUUAUGUUUACAGAUAUCGACAAACAAUGGCGGAUGAAAGAGCUUCGGCACACAAUUUCAGCGUAUAUUACGGACGUUACGUGGACUGAUGACAGAACUCAGCGAGGCACUGGAGGAGCUAAAAGAGAUACUUGACGAAGUACGGCCUCUGACGGAAGAAAGGGAAGCCCUAACGGCGCAGAUCCAACAGAUGAGAAAAAGGAUCCAACAGGCGCGGAAAUGGAAAACGAGGUUGACCAUGGCACGGAACGAGGAGGCAAAACAAUUGGGAAAGCUCAGAGCCAAAUAUGAGAAGCUGGAAUGCGAGACCAAGGAAGAAUUUGAAAGAAUUAUCGCUAGCCUGAAUUACGAGCAGUAUGAGAUCUACCAAAGGUAUAAUACCACAAAACCACGUCAAGGGGAAGACAAAAAAUUGUCACUAGAAAAGAAAAACCCAGACAAAAAAUCACAGCCAAAGGUAACGUCGAAUGUAUUGCUAUCGCCGAAGACAGGAGGAAAGAUAAGGGAAAAAUUGGCACGAACAAGCGCCAAAAGGAAAGAAUCUCAAGCAACAAAACCUUGUCGGAGGGUAGGGAUAAAAAACCGACUGGCGACCGUGAUAAAUAUUCUAUUAAAAAAAAACGGGCCGAGCUGCACUUGAGUGCAACUCCGAUCACACCAUGGAGUAGAAUUCGCGGAAGGGAAAUUAGCGUCUGCCAAUUACAAGAUUGUUUCCCAUAGAUUCUUUUGUUGUAUCCAUCUUAACAGUGUAUAUUAUUGGUUCGCACAGAUUAUUUUUCCGCGUUCUUUGCAGCAUGGGACAUAAGGGAUACAAAUUCAUGCAGAUCGAAAUGAGAUAUACACACAUACACUAUCAAAAUUCAAUAUUCGUUAACAAGUGCAUGAUCGGCGUUAAAAUGAGGUCUGAAAACUUGUGUGUUAUUAUUUAUAAUUUAAUAAACGCAUUUAAACUAAGUUUAUGUACAAUUAAAAAGCAAAAACUGCUUCGUAAAAGUGCAGAAGUAUAUAUACUGUAUAAAAUAACAAAAAAAAAAAAGAAAACACGACAAUAUAUUGGGUGCGACCUAUAUUUAGUAGAGAACGAAGAUUGCAACAAGGAGCAAGUGAAAAUCUGGUGAAAGAAAUGCUGGCCGAAGAUAUAGAAAAAUAUAUAGAUUAUUUUAGAAUGCUAUCGCAAUUAUUUGAGGUAUUAUUGACAUUAGUUGGACCAAUCAUCGUGAAAGAGAAUGUUGUUCGCGAACCUAUUUCACCUGCCACUCGACUUCAUAUUACAUUACGUUAUUUAGCAUUAGGGGACAGCAUGAAAUCCUUGUCAUAUGCCUUCAGAGUUGCACACAACACAAUCUCGAAAAUAAUAUCCGAGACUUGUACAGCUAUUUGGAAUUGUCUGAAAGAUUCAGUAUUUCUCCAGAAUAAUGAAAAGAGUUGGAAAUCUGUAGCUAACGACUUUCAACGAUUGUGGAACUUUCCCAAUUGUAUUGGGACCAUUGAUGGAAAACAUGUUCACAUCCAGGCUUCACUAAAUAGCGGAUCAAUAUAUUAUAACUACAAAGGCUAUCACAGCAUUAAUCUUCUCGGAAUCAGCGAUGUACACUAUCGCUUUACAAUAAUUGAUAUUGGUGCGGAAAAAAGAUAAAGCGAUGGAAGAAUUUUCCGCAACAGCAAAAUUGGAAAACGAAGUUAAUGCGUUCAAACUACCAAAUCCAAGACAGAUUGAAAAUAGCGGACCAGAAUACUAUAUGUACUAGUAGCGGAUGAAGCUUUUCCAUUAUCAAUGUACAUAAUGACGCCAUAUCCGCGAAGUGGAAACCUCAAUAUUGGGAAAAAAGUUUUUAAUUAUAGACUUAGCCGCGCAAGAAGACUAUAGAGAAUGCUUUCGGCAUAUUAGUGACUCGAUGGAGAAUAUAUCAAAGGCCAAUCAUUGCAAAUGUCAGCAAUGUACGCAAAAUUGUACAAGCAACUUUAGCACUACACAAUUUUAUCUUACAAAAUGAAGAGCAAUUAACUGGAAAAAAAUCAUAUUUAUAUAUAAGUACAGAAGAUGUACAUAUAUGUCGUGGUAUUCGCAAUAUUCUACUUUGUAGAAGUCGAGGUAAAAAUAAUGCUAUUGCUGUCAGAGAAGGAUAUUUGUCAUAUUUUCAAGAUACUGGUGCUUUAUCUUUCCAGUGGAAGAAAAGCGUUGCAAAACGAUUUUUAAUGUAUUUAUUUGUUCAAACAAUAUAAAUAGUACUGUAAGAUAAUGUAAAACAUAAUAGAUUUGUAAAUCGUAGAUUACACUCAUAAAUAAAUAUGGCCAAAUAUCA